rnacentral:rRNA from 1 species
AAAAGAAACUAACAAGGAUUCCCCUAGUAACUGCGAGUGAAGCGGGAAAAGCUCAAAUUUAAAAUCUGGCGUUCUCUGGGCGUCCGAGUUGUAAUCUGGAGAAGCGUUUUCCGCGUUGGACCGUGUACAAGUCUCCUGGAACGGAGCGUCAUAGAGGGUGAGAAUCCCGUCCAUGACACGGACUACCAAUGCUUUGUGAUACGCUCUCGAAGAGUCGAGUUGUUUGGGAAUGCAG